rnacentral:rRNA from 1 species
CCUACGGGAGGCAGCAGUGGGGAAUAUUGGACAAUGGGGGGAACCCUGAUCCAGCCAUGCCGCGUGUGUGAAGAAGGCCCUCGGGUUGUAAAGCACUUUCAGUGAGGAAGAACGCCUGGUGGUUAAUACCCAUCAGGAAAGACAUCACUCACAGAAGAAGCACCGGCUAACUCCGUGCCAGCAGCCGCGGUAAUACGGAGGGUGCGAGCGUUAAUCGGAAUUACUGGGCGUAAAGCGCGCGUAGGUGGCUUGAUAAGCCGGUUGUGAAAGCCCCGGGCUCAACCUGGGAACGGCAUCCGGAACUGUCAAGCUAGAGUGCAGGAGAGGAAGGUAUAAUUCCCGGUGUAGCGGUGAAAUGCGUAGAGAUCGGGAGGAAUACCAGUGGCGAAGGCGGCCUUCUGGACUGACACUGACACUGAGGUGCGAAAGCGUGGGUAGCAAACAGGAUUAGAUACCCUAGUAGUC